ensembl:lncRNA
GAGAAGGUGUGGAGAAGGUGUGGAGAAGGUGAGGAGAAGAGGUGGAGAUAUGGAGAAGGUGUGGAGAUGUGGUGGAGAUGUGGAGAAGAGGUGGAGAAGGUGAGAAGGUGUGGACAUGGUGUGGACAUGAUGUGGACAUGAUGUGGACGUGUCUCUUUGCCUGAAAUGUUCUGCACCAUCUUCAUAGAGUUUAAAGAGUUUAAAGAGGACACAUUACUGUGGAACAUUACAAGCAAAGCAACAUCAUCUCCAUGGAGACAAAGUGUGAGAAAAGUCUCAUAUUUCAGCUUUAAUAUCUGAUCGUCCUCUCUGCUUUGUCCAUCGUGGUUUUUGGGACUUCAAACGUAUAAACUUCUUAAAUACUGCGCACACGUUUAAAGAGCGGGUUUUAACGUUCAGCUUUUAUUUUUUUUGCUCUCUGUGCUAAGCCCCUCCCCCUUCAGAGCACUAUCACAACACAAUCAGCCGCACUAAUGAAACUACUGCACAUCACUCCAGGUUUGUGAAGUCGUAGUGUACACUUCUGAAUCAUGUUUUUGUAUAUUUAUGGCGUGUUGUCGUGUGGAGCAUGGGUGACGUCGGCUUGUGGGCGGAGCCUCGUACAGCGUUUGAAUAGAGCUCGGGAGAGAUCUCUAGGUUACUCAAACAGGGGUGACGUCUAAAACCUCUUCAGACGCGUUUUUGACGAGGGAACAGCGUUAGAACACGGAACAAAGCAGCAAUUUUUAGUUUCAAACCUAAUACAAACAAAAACAACAACAAAAAAACCACACAAUAUGGCGACAAAAAUGGUUGUUUUUGAC